rnacentral:rRNA from 1 species
UAAGGCUUUAAUUGAGUGCUAAGAGAAUGGUUUAACAAAAAUUAACUUUCUUUGAAUUUAUAAUAGAAGUUGAUUUAAAAAUGAAAAAGUUUUUAUUUAUUUUUGGGACAAGAAGACCCUAUGAAUUUUUUUUUAUGAUUUUAUUUAAAAUUUUUUAAAAAUAAAAUGAAGUGAAUUUAUAAGUUGAUUGGGGUGAUUUUUAAAGAAUAUUUAUCUUUAAAAGCUGUAGGAAUUAGAACCAAAAUUUUUGGUUGUUUGAAUAAAAUACUCUAGGGAUAACAGCGUAAUUAUUUUGGAUAGUUCAUAUAGAUAAAAUAGUUUGCGACCUCGAUGUUGGAUUAAGAUAC